AUCCAUAAUGGAAUUUUGGAGCAGGGAUGGGCACCUGACCCAAAGGAAAUUAGCCCAUAGGCUAACAA
rnacentral:pre_miRNA from 1 species